AACGCUGGCGGCGCGCUUAACACAUGCAAGUCGAGCGAGAACCAUGACUUCGGUCUUGGAGACAGCGGCGAACGGGUGAGUAACACGUGGGUAAUCUGCCCUCGGUUCUGGGAUAGCCCGGGGAAACUCGGAUUAAUACCGGAUAGCCUCUCUGGCCCUCGGGCCGGUGAGAAAAGGUAGCUUCGGCCUCCGACUGAGGAUGAGCCCGCGGCGGAUUAGCUUGUUGGCGGGGCAACGGCCCACCAAGGCGACGAUCCGUAGCUGGUCUGAGAGGACGAUCAGCCACACUGGGACGGAGACACGGCCCAGACUCCUACGGGAGGCAGCAGUGGGGAAUCUUGCGCAAUGGGCGAAAGCCUGACGCAGCGACGCCGCGUGAGGGAAGAAGGCCUUCGGGUUGUAAACCUCUUUCAGGUGGGACGAAGCCACUCGGGUGAAUAGCCCAGAGGGUGACGGUACCUCCAGAAGAAGCCCCGGCUAACUACGUGCCAGCAGCCGCGGUAAUAC
rnacentral:rRNA from 1 species